AAUACCGGUGGCGAAGGCGGCCCCCUGGACAGAUACUGACACUCAGAUGCGAAAGCGUGGGGAGCAAACAGGAUUAGAUACCCUGGUAGUCCACGCCGUAAACGAUGUCUACUUGGAGGUUGUGGCCUUGAGCCGUGGCUUUCGGAGCUAACGCGUUAAGUAGACCGCCUGGGGAGUACGGUCGCAAGAUUAAAACUCAAAUGAAUUGACGGGGGCCCGCACAAGCGGUGGAGCAUGUGGUUUAAUUCGAUGCAACGCGAAGAACCUUACCUACUCUUGACAUCCAGAGAACUUUCCAGAGAUGGAUUGGUGCCUUCGGGAACUCUGAGACAGGUGCUGCAUGGCUGUCGUCAGCUCGUGUUGUGAAAUGUUGGGUUAAGUCCCGCAACGAGCGCAA
rnacentral:rRNA from 1 species